UACAGAGGGUGCGAGCGUUAAUCGGAAUUACUGGGCGUAAAGCGUGCGUAGACGGUCAAGUAAGUCGGGUGUGAAAGCCCCGGGCUCAACCUGGGAAUUGCAUUCGAGACUGCGUGGCUAGGGUGCGGAAGAGGGAAGCGGAAUUUCCGGUGUAGCGGUGAAAUGCGUAGAUAUCGUCUGGAACGCCAAAGGUGAAAACAGACUGCUGGGGCUGUGCUGACGCUGAGACACGAAAGCCAGGGGAGCGAACGGG
rnacentral:rRNA from 1 species